rnacentral:lncRNA from 1 species
GAGUCAGCUAGGAGGAGGCCAGAGGGAAACAGUGGGGCUUUCGAAGCUUAUCAAAAGCAAACCUUGCUCUUUUGAAAAAGCAUUUUCCAACGCAACCUGGGGACAAAGUGGGGUUAAAUUUUACACAGAUUGCUUACGAGCAAGAGUUAAGUGGCUAACAAGUCAUGAAAUCUUACGGAGAAGCAGGUAAAGCCAAAAUUAAAAACUCCCUCCGAGUCAGCCCAUUCUGCGACCCACCUCCUCCCCUUUGCGGCAGGAACUCUACUCCAUCGAGGGGCUUUGCUGCAGUGGCACUGCCCACGCAUACUCAACUAAAAGACUCAGACCACGCCAGCCAUGCCACGAGCAAAGCGAGCUGAAUUCCUUCUUGUGGACCAUUAAGCGAGACCCACCAUCUUACUUCUUUGGCACAAUCCAUGUCCCGUACACCCGAGUUUGGGACUUCAUCCCCGACAACUCUAAGGAGGCUUUCCUGCAGAGCAGCAUUGUGUACUUUGAGUUGGAUCUCACAGACCCCUAUACCAUCUCAGCUCUCACCAGCUG